GAAAUUGAAAAACCACUUCAGCCUUAACGAAGUGGAAUAAGCACACAAGGUUGCUUUACAUUUUUGUUUCUUUAAAAUGAGGGAUAUGUAAUGCAAGUCCAUUUUUGGGGACUUGUCUGUGGAGGAGGAUGCCAGCAGUGAUGAUAUAUCUUUGGAUGGACUAGAGCAAGAACUGGAAGAAUGCAAAAAUGAGGAUGUAGUUGCAAACAUACUAUCUGAAGGUACAAAAUUAAGGGAGUAUACAAAGGGGGUUGAGAACAAUUUAC